CACCCGCGCCACAAGUGGUAAUCACGAUUAUUGGGCCUAAAGCGUCCGUAGCCGGCUUGAUAAAUCUUUUGUGAAAUUGUUAGGCUCAACUUAACAACGUGCAGAAGACACUAUUAGGCUUGGAACUGGGAAGGGUCAGAAGUAUUAUUGGGGUAGCGGUAAAAUGCUAUAAUCCCUUUAAGACUACCGAUGGCGAAGGCAUCUGACUAGAACAGUUUCGACGGUGAGGGACGAAAGCCAGGGGAGCAAACCGGAUUAGAUACCCGAGUAGUCCUGGCAGUAAACUCUGCGAGCUAGGUGUCACAUAUCCUUCGUGGAUGUGUGGUGUCGAAAUGAAGAUGUUAAGCUCGCCGCCUGGGAAGUAUGGUCGCAAGGCUGAAACUUUAAGGAAUUGGCGGGGGAGCACUACAAGGGGUGCGGCGUGCGGUUUAAUCUAACUCUACGCAGAGAAUCUCACCAGAGGCGACGGCAGGAUGAAAGUCGGGUUGAAGACUCUACUUGACAAGCCGAGAGGUAGUGCAUGGCCGCCGUCAGCUCGUGCCGUAAGGUGUCCUGUUAAGUCAGGCAACGAGCGAGACCUGUACCUACAAUUGCUAGCAACUCAUUCUGAGGAUUGAGCACAUUGUAGGGACUGCCCGGGAAACUGGGAGGAAGGUGCAGGCCACGGUAGGUCUGUAUGCUCCGAAUCUUCUGGGCUACACGCGCGCAACAAUGGUAUGGACAAUGGGAUACAACUCCGAAAGGAGAAGUUAAACCUCUAAACCUUAUCUAAGUUCAGAUUGAGGGCUGUAACUCGCCCUCAUGACGCUGGAAUCCCUAGUAAUCGUUCCUCAUCAUAGAACGGUGAAUAUGUCCCUGCUCCU
rnacentral:rRNA from 1 species